rnacentral:rRNA from 1 species
UGGGGAAUAUUGGACAAUGGGCGAAAGCCUGAUCCAGCCAUGCCGCGUGAGUGAUGAAGGCCUUAGGGUUGUAAAGCUCUUUUAGCAGGGAAGAUAAUGACGGUACCUGCAGAAAAAGCCCCGGCUAACUUCGUGCCAGCAGCCGCGGUAAUACGAAGGGGGCUAGCGUUGCUCGGAAUUACUGGGCGUAAAGCGCACGUAGGCGGACUCUUAAGUCGGUGGUGAAAUCCUGGAGCUCAACUCCAGAACUGCCUUCGAAACUGGGAGCCUUGAGUUCGGGAGAGGUGAGUGGAACUGCGAGUGUAGAGGUGAAAUUCGUAGAUAUUCGCAAGAACACCAGUGGCGAAGGCGGCUCACUGGCCCGAUACUGACGCUGAGGUGCGAAAGCGUGGGGAGCAAACA